UACAGAGGUCCCGAGCGUUGUUCGGAUUCACUGGGCGUAAAGGGUGCGUAGGUGGCGAGGUAAGUCGGAUGUGAAAGCUCGGAGCUCAACUCCGAAAUGGCAUUGGAAACUACCUUGCUCGAGGGUUGGAGGGGGACUGGAAUGCUUGGUGUAGCAGUGAAAUGCGUAGAUAUCAAGCGGAACACCAGUGGCGAAGGCGAGUCCCUGGACAACUCCUGACACUGAGGCACGAAAGCUAGGGGAGCAAACAGG
rnacentral:rRNA from 1 species